rnacentral:rRNA from 1 species
GAUGAACGCUGGCGGCGUGCUUAACACAUGCAAGUCGAACGAUGAAGCCCAGCUUGCUGGGUGGAUUAGUGGCGAACGGGUGAGUAACACGUGAGUAACCUGCCCUUGACUCUAGGAUAAGCCCGGGAAACUGGGUCUAAUACUGGAUAGGAACGGCUACCGCAUGGGGGGGGUUGGAAAGAAUUUCGGUCAUGGAUGGACUCGCGGCCUAUCAGCUUGUUGGUGAGGUAAUGGCUCACCAAGGCGACGACGGGUAGCCGGCCUGAGAGGGUGACCGGCCACACUGGGACUGAGACACGGCCCAGACUCCUACGGGAGGCAGCAGUGGGGAAUAUUGCACAAUGGGCGAAAGCCUGAUGCAGCGACGCCGCGUGAGGGAUGACGGCCUUCGGGUUGUAAACCUCUUUCAGUAGGGAAGAAGCGAAAGUGACGGUACCUGCAGAAGAAGCACCGGCUAACUACGUG